GAUGAACGCUAGCGACAGGCUUAACACAUGCAAGUCGAGGGGUAACAGGGUUAGCAAUACCGCUGACGACCGGCGCACGGGUGAGUAACGCGUAUGCAACCUGCCUAUAACUGGGGAAUAGACUCCCUGAAAGGGGAAUUUAACACCGCAUAACACUAUUGAUUCGCAUGGAUUGGUAGUUAAAUGUAGCGAUACAGGUUAUAGAUGGGCAUGCGUGACAUUAGCUAGUUGGUGAGGUAACGGCUCACCAAGGCUACGAUGUCUAGGGGUUCUGAGAGGAAGGUCCCCCACACUGGUACUGAGACACGGACCAGACUCCUACGGGAGGCAGCAGUGAGGAAUAUUGGUCAAUGGGCGCAAGCCUGAACCAGCCAUGUCGCGUGCAGGAAGACUGCCCUAUGGGUUGUAAACUGCUUUUAUAGUAGAAGAAACACAUCUACGUGUAGAUGUCUGCCAGUAUACUAUGAAUAAGCAUCGG
rnacentral:rRNA from 1 species